rnacentral:rRNA from 1 species
CACGUAGGCGGCUUUCUAAGUCGGGGUGAAAUCCUGGAGCUCAACUCCAGAACUGCCUUCGAUACUGGAAAGCUCGAGUCCGGGAGAGGUGAGUGGAACUGCGAGUGUAGAGGUGAAAUUCGUAGAUAUUCGCAAGAACACCAGUGGCGAAGGCGGCUCACUGGCCCGGUACUGACGCUGAGGUGCGAAAGCGUGGGAGCAAACA